UGCCCAGUAGCACAGUGGGUAAGUGCGCCUGAUGCUGUUAAUUCUUCGGGACCCUUGUUCGAUUCAAGGCUGGGCCC